CCUACGGGAGGCAGCAGUAGGGAAUCUUGCGCAAUGGGCGAAAGCCUGAUGGAGCAACGCCGCGUGGGUGAAGAAGGUCUUCGGAUCGUAAAACCCUGUUGUUAGAGAAGAAAAUGCGUGAAAGUAACUGUUCACGUCUCGACGGUAUCUAACCAGAAAGCCACGGCUAACUACGUGCCAGCAGCCGCGGUAAUACGUAGUUGGCAAGCGUUAUCCGGAUUUAUUGGGCGUAAAGGGAACGUAGGCGGUCUGUGAAUUCUGAUGUGAAAGCCUUCGGCUUAACCGGAGUAGUGCAUUGGAAGCUGGGAGACUUGAGUGCAGAAGAGGAGAGUGGAAGUCCAUGUGUAGCGGUGAAAUGCGUAGAUAUAUGGAAGAACACCAGUGGCGAAAGCGGCUUUCUGGUCUGUAACUGACGCUGAGGUUCGAAAGCGUGGGUAGCAAACAGGAUUAGAUACCCGGGUAGUC
rnacentral:rRNA from 1 species